CUUUUCUUUACAUAAUUCAUAAAACAUUCAAACGAAGUUAAUUAUAAGGAUGGUAUUAUUUGAACGAAAUAGAUAUAAAGAAACACACACGUACAUUGUGUUUUCUUUACAUGUUUCAUAAAAAUUUCUUAAAAGUGACAAAGCCAAAGACGAACAUCACAUGACAUCAGAAGACAAAAAUCACACCGCAUAAUUAGGAUUUUAUUCCCAGGCUCUGCAUUUCUUGUCAAGUAUUCCUCUUCCAUAAGUAAACAUGAAAAUGUCAAGAAAGAGGGGGAACUGCAUCCACACAAACGAGGCGAUUGGAACGCUGGCAAGCAAACUGAUUGGAAUAGAUACCCAUGAUUCUCCCUCAAGCAUAAUAAAAAGAGUUCAUGAAAAAGCAACCAUCAUGGCGGCGAUAGAUAAAAAAAUGGUGAAAAGGCCUAAUAGCAUUUUUGUGGGCAAAGACCUGAGGAAAUCGUCUUCUGCAUAACGUGAUGUGAGAAUUCCCAAGAAUAUAAUCACUGAUGUCGUCGAAGAAAAGAGUGAUAUAGAAUCUGAAAUAAGAAAAACCCUAAAGAACUUCUUUCUUAAGAAGAUGGGAAAACCUGUAUCUUGAUUGUUUCCACUAGGAACUGUAAAUGCCGCAGCAAACAUAUUGGUAACAAUGAGGGCACCUACGACUGUGCAAGAAGUUGUUGUCCCUUUCAUUGACUCUUCUCCUUCCUUCACCAAUUUUUUGUGGUUCUUGGUGAAUAGUUCUCGUGCUGUUAUUUGCUCGGUCUUAUUUCUUACUUCCAAGUGCUGGGGGUGUAAAAUACGCUCCACCUCCU
rnacentral:lncRNA from 1 species